UUNGAAUUUCGGGGUUAGUAGGUUGGUCAUGCCUCUGGUAUGUACUGGUCUCACUGAUUCCUCCUUCCUGAUGAACCUUAAUGCCAUUAAUUUGGUGUUUUUGGGAAUUUUGGACUGUUACUUUGAAAAAAUUAGAGUGUUUAAAGCAAGCUAACGCUUGAAUACAUUAGCAUGGAAUAAUGAAAUAGGACGUUCGAUCCUAUUUUGUUGGUUUCUAGGAUUGACGUAAUGAUUAAUAGGGAUAGUUGGGGGCAUUAGUAUUCAAUUGUCAGAGGUGAAAUUCUUGGAUUUAUUGAAGACUAACUACUGCGAAAGCAUUUGCCAAGGAUGUUUUCAUUAAUCAAGAACGAAAGUUAGGGGAUCGAAGACGAUCAGAUACCGUCGUAGUCUUAACCAUAAACUAUGCCGACUAGGGAUCGGAUGAUGUUAAUUUUUAAUGACUC
rnacentral:rRNA from 1 species